rnacentral:rRNA from 1 species
UUCAUAAACAACCAGGAUGUUGGCUCAGAAGCAGCCACCAUUUAAAGAGUGCGUAAUAGCUCACUGGUCGAGAGACGCUGCGCCGAAAAUGUCCGGGGCUCAAGCACGGAACCGAAGCUAUGGCAUUGCGUAAGCAAUGGGUAGGGGAGCGUUCUUAUGGGGAAGAAGCAUUACCGUAAGGAGAUGUGGACACAUAAGAAGUGAGAAUGCCGGUAUGAGUAUCGAAAAGAAAGGUGAGAAUCCUUUCCACCGAAAGCCCGAGGGUUCCUGAGCAACGAUCGUCGUCUCAGGGUAAGUCGGGACCUAAGCCGAGGCACAGACGCAUAGGCGAUGGACAACAGGUUGAAAUUCCUGUACCGGAUGGAGUCAUUUGAGCAAUGGAGUGACGCAGGAGGGCACAUGAUCGCGCGACUGGAAGAGCGCGUCCAAGUGCGUAUGUUGAAUCGGAGGCAAAUCCCCGAUUCUGAAAGCAGAGACAUGAUGGGGAGUUAUAAGCGAUUAUGACGAACUCAUGGAUCCCACACUGCCAAGAAAAACUUCUAGCGAGACGAAAUCCGCCCGUACCGUAAACCGACACAGGUAGGCGGGGAGAGAAUCCUAAGGUGCGCGGGAAAACCCUCGUUAAGGAACUCGGCAAAUUGCAUCCGUAACUUCGGGAGAAGGAUGGCCCUGAGUAGGCGAAGUGCAGAAACGCACGGAACAGAAAAGGGUGGCAGAAAAGAGGCCCAAGCAACUGUUUACCAAAAACACAGGUGCCUGCGAAAGCGAAAGCUGAAGUAUAGGUGCUGACGCCUGCCCGGUGCUGGAAGGUUAAGGAGAGAGGUUAGCGCAAGCGAAGCUUUGAACUGAAGCCCCAGUGAACGGCGGCCGUAACUAUAACGGUCCUAAGGUAGCGAAAUUCCUUGUCGGGUAAGUUCCGACCCGCAUGAAAGGCGUAAUGAUUUGGGCGCUGUCUCAACGAGGGGCCCGGUGAAAUUGAAAUACCUGUGAAGAUGCAGGUUACCCGCGACUGGACAGAAAGACCCCAUGGAGCUUUACUGCAGCUUGAGAUUGAAUCCCGGUGGCAGACGCACAGGAUAGGUGGGAGGCUUUGAGAUAGUGACUUUGGUUGCUAUGGAGCCGACGUUGGGAUACCACCCUUCUGUUGCUGGGAUUCUAACGCGAAGAUUAACAACCUUGCGGACCAUCUCAGGUAGGCGGUUUGACUGGGGCGGUCGCCUCCGAAAGAGUAACGGAGGCGCCCAAAGGUUCCCUCAGGCCGGACAGAAACCGGCCGAAGAGUGCAAAGGCAGAAGGGAGCUUGACUGCGAGACAGACAAGUCGAGCAGAGACGAAAGUCGGGCUUAGUGAUCCGGUGGUACUGCGUGGAAAGGCCAUCGCUCAACGGAUAAAAGCUACCCUGGGGAUAACAGGCUAAUCUCUCCCAAGAGUUCAUAUCGACGGGGAGGUUUGGCACCUCGAUGUCGGCUCAUCACAUCCUGGAGCUGGAGUAGGUUCCAAGGGUUGGGCUGUUCGCCCAUUAAAGUGGUACGCGAGCUGGGUUCAAAACGUCGUGAGACAGUUUGGUUCAUAUCCAUCGCGGGCGCAAGAAGUUUGAGGGAGGCUGCUCCUAGUACGAGAGGACCGGAGUGGACGGAUCAACGGUGUACCAGUUGUCACGCCAGUGGCACGGCUGGAAAGCCGCAUCCGGAAAGGAUAAACGCUGAAAGCAUCUAAGCGUGAAGCCCGUCCCAAGAUGAGACUUCU